rnacentral:rRNA from 1 species
GACGAACGCUGGCGGCGUGCUUAACACAUGCAAGUCGAACGGAAAGGCCCUGCUUUUGUGGGGUGCUAGAGUGGCGAACGGGUGAGUAACACGGGAGUAACCUGCGCUUGACUUGGGGAUAACUUGAGGAAACUGGGGCUAAUACCGGAUAGGAGCGCCUGCUGCAUGGGGGGGGUUGGAACGUUUCGGCGGUUGGGGAUGGACGGGCGGCUGAUCAGCUUGUGGGUGGGGUAGUGGCUUACCAAGGGUUUGACGGGUAGCCGGCCUGAGAGGGUGACCGGCCACCAUGGUACUGAGAUACGGAGCAGAGUCGUACGGUGGGCAGCAGUGGGGAAUAUUGCACAAUGGGCGGAAGUCUGAUGAAGCAACGUCGCGAGCGGGAAGACGUCCUUCGUGUUGUAAACCGCUUUCGCCUGUGACGAAGCGGUUUUGACGUUAAUGGGUAAAGAAGCACCGGCUAACUACGUG